rnacentral:lncRNA from 1 species
CUCCUGCUCUUUCAAUCAGUCAUUCCAAUAAGCCUGUCGACCAGUUCAGGCGAUUUAUCUGUUGCAAAACCGAGAUGGUACUAUCUUCAUUGUACUGACUGUUACCGGCCAGAUGCUAAGGGAGAAGCAUGUGUGUAUAUAAAAAAUUGCAUCAGACGUCGCCUGAGAAGUCGUCAGUAUUUUGCAUACAUGGUGGUCUAAUAUAAGCUACAGAGUACAGAAGUUUGUAGAUACGUAUUUAGCCGCUGCUAGAGGCAAUUAGUUCUCAGUUCCACUGUGCGCUUCUCCAUAAACAAUUUGCAAAAAAAACCGGACAGAACUUUAAUAAAAUUUUAUUAUUAUUAACUGGACUGUUAUUAAGAGCGUCAGCAGAAUAUUCCAAUGAGGGUAACGGAAAGCGUCUGCAGUGUGAGCAUAUCUUUGCGUUAGCAUUUCUCCACUUACAAUGGAGGAUAGCAUGUCGUACAUUCCGAUCCGCAAGAGGAAAAAGUAACAAAUGAGCGCAAAAACAGUGCGAAAGUUGACACUAAGCAAGAAUUAUGACGUCAAUGAAGGUAGGACGAGGUUUAGCCGACUUAUCCAAGAUCUGGCAGGAUAUUUGGGCGACUAGAAUGAUUCUAGAAAACGGAAUGAUGUUUUUUGCAUGUUUUAAAAAGCAAGUUUUUUUUCUUUCACUCACCCUUUAAAUGAGGACUAAUUUCAUUUAUUGUCUGAUCUUGAAACUGAAUUAUUCGCAUAAAUGCGUUUGAUUGAAGUGUUUUAGUUUGCAGUAUAAAUAUGUAUUUCAUUUUUAUAUGAAAUAACGGAUGAAGACCUUUAGGGGUAGAAGUCACAUUAAAAUUCUAUUUCCAGUCA